rnacentral:rRNA from 1 species
CCUACGGGUGGCAGCAGUAGGGAAUAUUGCUCAAUGGGGGAAACCCUGAAGCAGCAACGCCGCGUGGAGGAUGAAGGUUUUCGGAUUGUAAACUCCUUUUGUUAGAGAAGAUAAUGACGGUAUCUAACGAAUAAGCACCGGCUAACUCCGUGCCAGCAGCCGCGGUAAUACGGAGGGUGCAAGCGUUACCCGGAAUCACUGGGCGUAAAGAGCGCGUAGGCGGGAUAGCAAGUCAGAUGUGAAAUCCUAGGGCUAAACCAUGGAACUGCAUUUGAAACUGUGAUUCUAGAGUAUGGGAGAGGUAGGUGGAAUUCGUGGUGUAGGGGUAAAUCCGUAGAGAUCAAGAGGAAUACUCAUUGCGAAGGCGACCUGCUAGAACAUAACUGACGCUGAUGCGCGAAAGCGUGGGGAGCAAACAGGAUUAGAUACCCCUGUAGUC